AACGCACAUUGCGCCUCUUGGUAUUCCGAGGGGCAUGUCUGUUUGAGCGUCAGUACACACCUCCACCCCGGAUCUUUGCGGAUCCCCGGGGUCGGGUCUUGGGACGCCGCUCCGCCCCCACCGGCGCGCGGCUCCCUAAUGUGGCACGCUUGCGGGCUCCCGGCCAGAUGUCAACGUAGUAAGUUUACACCGCUCGUUCACGGCUGACGGAGGGCCUCGCCUGAAAUCGAACUUCUCAUGGUUUGACCUCAGAUCAGACAAGGAUACCCGCUGAACUUAA
rnacentral:misc_RNA from 2 species